UUUCCGUAGGUGAACCUGCGGAAGGAUCAUUACAGAGUAAUUGGUUUUCGGACCGACUUACCCGUCCUUUUGUCAUUCAAACAUUGAUUUACUUCCCAGGAGGUGUCGCAGCGAUGUGACCGCCUGGGGUUUUUUUACAAACUCUUUUUUGCAAUGAAACUGAAGUCUGAAAAACAAACAAAAAAUGAAAAGCAAAACUUUCAACAACGGAUCUCUUGGCUCUGGCAUCGAUGAAGAACGCAGC
rnacentral:misc_RNA from 1 species